rfam:Rattus norvegicus chromosome 9, whole genome shotgun sequence.
GGGGAUUUAGCUCAGCGGUAGAGCGUUUGCCUAGGAAGCGCAAGGCCCUGGGUUCGGUCCCCAGCUCCG